UGGAAAUGAGGCUGCACCUGCAGCCGCGGU
rnacentral:sRNA from 1 species